GAUGAACGCUGGCGGCGUGCCUAAUACAUGCAAGUCGAGCGAACAGACGAGGAGCUUGCUCCUCUGACGUUAGCGGCGGACGGGUGAGUAACACGUGGAUAACCUACCUAUAAGACUGGGAUAACUUCGGGAAACCGGAGCUAAUACCGGAUAAUAUAUUGAACCGCAUGGUUCAAUAGUGAAAGACGGUUUUGCUGUCACUUAUAGAUGGAUCCGCGCCGCAUUAGCUAGUUGGUAAGGUAACGGCUUACCAAGGCAACGAUGCGUAGCCGACCUGAGAGGGGGAUAGGCCACACUGGAAGUGAGACACGGUCCAGACUCCUAAGGGAGGCAGCAGUAGGGAAUCUUCCGCAAUGGGCGAAAGCCUGACGGAGCAACGCCGCGUGAGUGAUGAAGGUCUUCGGAUCGUAAAACUCUGUUAUUAGGGAAGAACAAAUGUGUAAGUAACUAUGCACGUCUUGACGGUACCUAAUCAGAAAGCCACGGCUAACUACGUG
rnacentral:rRNA from 1 species